AGCAGUAGCCGCGGGAAUACGGAGGGUGCAAGCGUUAAUCGGAAUUACUGGGCGUAAAGCGCACGCAGGCGGUCUGUCAAGUCAGAUGUGAAAUCCCCGGGCUUAACCUGGGAACUGCAUUUGAAACUGGCAGGCUAGAGUCUUGUAGAGGGGGGUAGAAUUCCAGGUGUAGCGGUGAAAUGCGUAGAGAUCUGGAGGAAUACCGGUGGCGAAGGCGGCCCCCUGGACAAAGACUGACGCUCAGGUGCGAAAGCGUGGGGAGCAAACAGGAUUAGAUACCCGUGUAGUCCCUGUCUCUUAUAU
rnacentral:rRNA from 1 species